rnacentral:rRNA from 1 species
CACGUAGGGCGCAAGCGUUGUCCGGAAUUAUUGGGCGUAAAGAGCUCGUAGGCGGUCUGUUGCGUCCGCUGUGAAAACCCGGGGCUUAACCCUGGGCUGGCAGUGGAUACGGACAGACUAGAGGUAGGUAGGGGAGAAUGGAAUUCCCGGUGUAGCGGUGAAAUGCGCAGAUAUCAGGAGGAACACCCGUGGCGAAAGCGGCUCUCUGGGACGGUACUGACGCUGAGACGCGAAAGCGUGGGGAGCAAACAGG